AUUCGUUGCACUAUCGUUAACUGAAUACAUAGGUUAACGAGGCGAACCGGGGGAACUGAAACAUCUAAGUACCCCGAGGAAAAGAAAUCAACCGAGAUUCCCCCAGUAGCGGCGAGCGAACGGGGAGCAGCCCAGAGUCUGAAUCAGCUUGUGUGUUAGUGGAACGGUCUGGAAAGUCCGACGGUACAGGGUGAUAGUCCCGUACACCAAAAUGCACAGGCUGUGAACUCGAAGAGUAGGGCGGGACACGUGGUAUCCUGUCUGAAUAUGGGGGGACCAUCCUCCAAGGCUAAAUACUCCUGACUGACCGAUAGUGAACCAGUACCGUGAGGGAAAGGCGAAAAGAACCCCGGCGAGGGGAGUGAAAAAGAACCUGAAACCGUGUACGUACAAGCAGUGGGAGCACCUUCGGGUGUGACUGCGUACCUUUUGUAUAAUGGGUCAGCGACUUAUAUUCUGUAGCAAGGUUAACCGUAUAGGGGAGCCGCAGGGAAACCGAGUCUUAACUGGGCGUUAAGUUGCAGGGUAUAGACCCGAAACCCGGUGAUCUAGCCAUGGGCAGGUUGAAGGUUGGGUAACACUAACUGGAGGACCGAACCGACUAAUGUUGAAAAAUUAGCGGAUGACUUGUGGCUGGGGGUGAAAGGCCAAUCAAACCGGGAGAUAGCUGGUUCUCCCCGAAAGCUAUUUAGGUAGCGCCUCGUGAAUUCAUCUUCGGGGGUAGAGCACUGUUUCGGCUAGGGGGUCAUCCCGACUUACCAACCCGAUGCAAACUACGAAUACCGAAGAAUGUUAUCACGGGAGACACACGGCGGGUGCUAACGUCCGUCGUGAAGAGGGAAACAACCCAGACCGCCAGCUAAGGUCCCAAAGUCAUGGUUAAGUGGGAAACGAUGUGGGAAGGCACAGACAGCCAGGAUGUUGGCUUAGAAGCAGCCAUCAUUUAAAGAAAGCGUAAUAGCUCACUGGUCGAGUCGGCCUGCGCGGAAGAUGUAACGGGGCUAAACCAUGCACCGAAGCUGCGGCAGCGACACUAUGUGUUGUUGGGUAGGGGAGCGUUCUGUAAGCCUGCGAAGGUGUGCUGUGAGGCAUGCUGGAGGUAUCAGAAGUGCGAAUGCUGACAUAAGUAACGAUAAAGCGGGUGAAAAGCCCGCUCGCCGGAAGACCAAGGGUUCCUGUCCAACGUUAAUCGGGGCAGGGUGAGUCGACCCCUAAGGCGAGGCCGAAAGGCGUAGUCGAUGGGAAACAGGUUAAUAUUCCUGUACUUGGUGUUACUGCGAAGGGGGGACGGAGAAGGCUAUGUUAGCCGGGCGACGGUUGUCCCGGUUUAAGCAUGUAGGCUGGUU
rnacentral:rRNA from 1 species